rnacentral:lncRNA from 1 species
CAGUCGCUCUGGAGAUUCACAUUGAAGACCCAGGAAGAUGUGGCUUCUCCAGGGCAGACAUGCAUACAAGCAUGUCUGAAAACCAAUAGAAGACCAGAGGGAUCAUAAAGAUGACUUUUCCAACGGCGUUACAGACGCAAUACUGGAGGUAGUUUUCAUAGGUGCAUUAGACUGUGGAAGACUUCCUGGCCCAGAUUCCAGCUCCCGCCACCUCCAGUUCUGCUGCUGAGAGCUCCCAACCUCGGUCCCAGUGACAGGUUUAGAUCCACUGUGGCUACCUUGCUCGUGGUCUGGGCCACCAAACUCAGGUACGUAGGGGUUCUUAAAGGAUGGAAAAGUGUGAGAGGGAGGCUGGGAGAAACCUCUAUGGGAAGGAAGUCACCCAAUGGUAGGCACCACCCACUGGUUAGUGGGGAUGGUCGUCAGCCUGGGAGCAGGUUAUAGUCUUGACAGGAAUGGGUUAAUUGAGUGUUUGAUGUUAAAGGCUUCUGUUGGUGUAUUUUGUGCUGCAGUAUCACUUUUAUUCCUAUGUUUGAUAGGAUAACUUAAGGUCUUUUUUUUUUUUUUUUUAAUUUCCAUUGGAUUUGUCUUUCCUUUCUGUGGAUUGUCUUCUAUUCCCUUCUUAGCAUGCCCCAUAUACAAACUGGGAUUUUUAAGGUAAGAGGAAAACCAGGAAGAUUUUAAGAACUACUGUUUUCUAGGUCCCUUGAUAAGGUACUUUCCAAGGAGGUUACCCACCAACUUUCUGUGAGAUUCUAAUCUUGUUCUCUUGAAUUGAAGAGAGUCCAGUUGUCUUCAGUAGACUAGACAAUAUCGAACACAAAUUUUUAACUAGUUUGUCAAAUGUCUCAUUGCUGUUCGCUAUCUGAGAUGUUCCAUGGGUUACCAUGAAAGGCCUGGACACCUAGUUUUGUAUUACAAAUUCAACAGAAUUAUGGUAUUUUUGUGUACUUUCAAGAACAUAGAGAAGUAAUUGAGUUUGCACCGUCACAUUUGGCUGUGACUAAAAAAGAUUAAGCAAAAUGGAGUCUUGUAUUGUGUGCACACAAUACAAGUCCCUGAAAACUUCUAUAUGUCAGUGCAAUUAAUUCUGUGGGAUCUAUAACUGUAACUGCUAAGAGUUGCAACUGUACAACAGUAGUAAGAGGAAAAGUAAUUAGUUUAUGAUGUCAUUUCUUAGAGAUAAGAGUGAGACAUUUUAAUGCACUCCAGAAAGAUACACCAACCUACAGCAGCUGGUGAGACAUCAGCUCCACCUACAGCAAAGGCUGCUCUAUAGCUCUCAUAGAAACACAUUGAAUAGAUCCAAAACAUUGGCACUUGUGGUAGUUCCUCUAGCUCAGGAAGGUUACCUAACUACAAGGAGGUACAAACAGGCAGCGGAUUAAAGAGGCCUGCAGGGAGCUACUGAGUCCUGUGCAACUUCAUACGGAGGAAUUUUUAA